rnacentral:rRNA from 1 species
GAAUAUUGGACAAUGGGCGAAAGCCUGAUCCAGCCAUGCCCCGUGUGUGAAGAAGGUCUUCGGAUUGUAAAUCACUUUAAGUUGGGAGGAAGGGCAGUAAGCGAAUACCUUGCUGUUUUGACGUUCCCGACAGACAAAGCACCGGCUACCCCUGUCCCCGCAGCCGCGGUAAUAAAGAGGGUGCAAGCGUUAAUCGGAAUUACUGGGCGUAAAGCGCGGGUAGGUGGUUCGUUAAGUUGGAUGUGAAAUCCCCGGGCUCAACCUGGGAACUGCAUCCAAAACUGGCGAGCUAGAGUAGGGCAGAGGGUGGUGGAAUUUCCUGUGUAGCGGUGAAAUGCGUAGAUAUAGGAAGGAACACCAGUGGCGAAGGCGACCACCUGGGCUCAUACUGACACUGAGGUGCGAAAGCGUGGGGAGCAAACAG